rnacentral:rRNA from 1 species
AUUGAACGCUGGCGGCAGGCCUAACACAUGCAAGUCGAGCGGAUGAAGGGAGCUUGCUCCUGGAUUCAGCGGCGGACGGGUGAGUAAUGCCUAGGAAUCUGCCUGGUAGUGGGGGAUAACGUCCGGAAACGGGCGCUAAUACCGCAUACGUCCUGAGGGAGAAAGUGGGGGAUCUUCGGACCUCACGCUAUCAGAUGAGCCUAGGUCGGAUUAGCUAGUUGGUGGGGUAAAGGCCUACCAAGGCGACGAUCCGUAACUGGUCUGAGAGGAUGAUCAGUCACACUGGAACUGGGACACGGUCCAGGCUCCUACGGGAGGCCGCAGUGGGGAAUAUUGGACAAUGGGCGAAAGCCUGAUCCAGCCAUGCCGCGUGUGUGAAGAAGGUCUUCGGAUUGUAAAGCACUUUAAGUUGGGAGGAAGGGCAGUAAGUUAAUACCUUGCUGUUUUGACGUUACCAACAGAAUAAGCACCGGCUAACUUCGUG